rnacentral:rRNA from 1 species
ACGCUCGACACCUACGGGAGGCCGCAGUCGGGAAUAUUGCGCAAUGGAGGAAACUCUGACGCAGUGACGCCGCGUGCAGGAAGAAGGUUUUCGGAUUGUAAACUGCUUUAGACAGGGAAGAAAGAAUGACAGUACCUGUAGAAUAAGCUCCGGCUAACUACGUGCCAACAGCCGCGGUAAUCUGAGCGGGCUGGCAAGGC